rnacentral:rRNA from 1 species
GACGAACGCUGGCGGCGUGCUUAACACAUGCAAGUCGAACGGACGAGUGAGAUAAGUUUACUUAACUCACAAGUUAGUGGCGGACGGGUGAGUAACACGUGGAUAAUCUACCUGCAACACCGGGAUAACGCUGUGAAAACGGUGCUAAUACCGGAUACGUUCCCUUGUGCGCAUGUAUGAGGGAAGAAAGCUCAGGCGGUUGCAGAUGAGUCCGCGGCUGAUUAGCUAGUUGGUGAGGUAAAGGCUCACCAAGGCGAUGAUCAGUAGCCGGCCUGAGAGGGUGAACGGCCACACUGGGACUGAGACACGGCCCAGACUCCUACGGGAGGCAGCAGUGGGGAAUCUUCCGCAAUGGGCGCAAGCCUGACGGAGCAACGCCGCGUGGGUGAAGAAGGCCUUCGGGUUGUAAAGCCUGUCUUAUGGGAAGAAGUCAGUGACGGUACCAGUAGGAGGAAGCCACGGCUAACUACGUGCCAGCCGCCGCGGUAACUACCACUACG